rnacentral:piRNA from 1 species
UGUUUUUGGACAUGGGUUACCUCUGAAGU